rnacentral:rRNA from 1 species
GUAGGGUGCGAGCGUUAAUCGGAAUUACUGGGCGUAAAGCGUGCGCAGGCGGUUCUCCAAGUCCGUUGUGAAAGCCCCGGGCUCGACCUGGGAAUGGCAGUGGAAACUAGGGGACUGGAAUCUGGCAGAGGGGGGUGGAAUGCCGCGUGUAGCAGUGAAAUGCGUAGAGAUGCGGCGGAACACCGAUGGCGAAGGCAGCCCCCUGGGCUGAGAUUGACGCUCAGGCACGAAAGCGUGGGGAGCAAACAGGAUUAGAUACCCUGGUAGUCCACGCCCUAAACGAUGGCAACUAGGUGUUGGGGAAGCGAUUUCCUGGUACCGCAGCKRACGCGUGAAGUUGCCCGCCUGGGGAGUACGGUCG